GCGUAGGAUUAGCUUGUUGGUGGGGUAACGGCCUACCAAGGCAACGAUCCUUAGCUGGUCUGAGAGGAUGAUCACCCUAACUGGGACUGAGACACGGCCCAGACUAAUACGGGAGGCAGCAGUGGGGAAUAUUGGACAAUGGGCGCAAGCCUGAUCCAGCAAUGCCGCGUGAGUGAUGAAGGCCUUCGGGUUGUAAAGCUCUUUCGCACGCGACGAUGAUGACGGUAGCGUGAGAAGAAGCCCCGGCUAACUUCGUGCCAGCAGCCGCGGUAAUACGAAGGGGGCUAGCGUUGUUCGGAAUUACUGGGCGUAAAGGGCGCGUAGGCGGUACUUCAAGUCAGGCGUGAAAGCCCCGGGCUCAACCUGGGAACCGCGCUUGAGACUGGAGAACUAGAGUUCGGGAGAGGAUGGUGGAAUUCCCAGUGUAGAGGUGAAAUUCGUAGAUAUUGGGAAGAACACCGAUGGCGAAGGCAGCCAUCUGGACCGACACUGACGC
rnacentral:rRNA from 1 species